rnacentral:lncRNA from 1 species
CAUAGCUCACUGUUACAUGUAUUUGGAUAAGUGAGUUUAUUGUUUGAUUUAAUUUUCAUUGUAAAAACUUAUGCAAUGUUGUGUUUAUUGUGAUUUUCAAAUUUUUUUCUCUAAGUUUAAUGUUAAUGUACUAUAAUACUAGUACAUUAUUCUGUUUUAGCUGAUAAGAGUAUGUUAAGUUUGAUAUUUGCAAGGAAGUUAUAUUCAUCUUUUGUUUGAUGUUAUUUACUGUUUUGAUUUGUCUUCUGUUUGACUUUUGUACUUGUUCAUUAUUUACUUUGUUUUCCUUUUCCUUUUCUCCUUGUUACAAUUCCUUAGACUAGGUUAGAGUAAGAUAGUUGAGUGUAGGUUGUUUGUUAUUUGGGUAGAUUUCUUAGUUUAGGUAACUGGUAAGUAUUUUAGAUUUGUGCAAUAGGGGGGGAAUGUGAUAAAGGAUGGAAAGGUUUGCAAUGUGCAAAACUGCAAGAACUGAAUAGUGCAAACCUAGGAAUGAUUGACAGUGGCAUGUGACCAAGGGUCACAUGGGAGCCUGAGCUGGAGGAUCUGGGAAGACUCCAUCUUGCCCCAACAGACUCUUCUUCUGGUCUCCUGAGGAAGUCAAGAGGAAGGUCUGAAGAGGAUUUUCCCUGUGUUGAACUGAGGAAAGGUUCCUGUAUCAUUCAGUCUCACUUGGACAUCAGGACUUGCUUGGACAUCUAACAACAACAGAUCCUGGCUCUAACUGCUUUUUGGACCCCUGCUGAGACAAGAAUAUCAAGGGUGAGAUUGGGAGACACAAGAUUACAGCCAAGAAGAAAUGAGAAGUAUGCCAUAUCAGAAAGAAGAGAAACUCCGAGCUUCCCAGCCUGUUAUGUUGUGCCAAUCAGCCUGCAUUCCUCAGACUACAUUAGCAACAUGCCAAUAAUUCAGUGCUCCCAAGAUGUGUGACGGGUUUUCACAACACAUUUUUAUGAGUAAACUCACGCUUUCCUCUCCUCCUGUGUCAGAGACUGAAUGACUCAUAGGAACCAAAAUUAAAAGCUGGAUGGAAACUGGGGGAUCAUCAACUAUUACCCCUUUCUGAUACAGAUGCUUGCUCAAGGUCAUAUAGAAAAUAAAUGGAUUAGAGAGGAUUUGAACUUAAGUCCA